UACGAGAGGUCCAAACGUUAUUCGGAAUUACUGGGCGUAAAGCGCGUGUAGGCGGCUCGGCAAGUCGGGUGUGAAAGCCCUGGGCUUAACCUAGGAAGUGCACUCGAAACUGCCAAGCUUGAGUUCUGGAGAGGAAGGCGGAAUUCUCGGUGUAGAGGUGAAAUUCGUAGAUAUCGAGAGGAACACCGGUGGCGAAGGCGGCCUUCUGGACAGCAACUGACGCUGAGACGCGAAAGCGUGGGGAGCAAACAGG
rnacentral:rRNA from 1 species